rnacentral:lncRNA from 1 species
CCUGUUUGGGCUGGAUACUGAGUUAACAAGCCUGUGACAAACCUGAGUGCUUGACCUGAGGAAUCUCACUGCUCUGCCUUGUGGAAGGAUUCCUACUGGAAGGCAACAGAAUCUCCAUCAAGUCAGCAAACUGCUGGAAAGCUCUCCCUUCUGACACUGACAUGAAGUAGAAUCUGAGCAACAGAAUUAUGAAUGUGGACUUACUUCAAUAACCUAAAAAGCCCUGGAAAACUGGUGAUGAUAUACAACACAGAGAAAAACCCCAGGAGUUCAAAAUCAUGUGCUUUGUAUCUUUAAUGAAACCACCAGCAAAUGUCAGAAUGACAUAGGACAUAUAUAACUCUGAUGUCACCAGCUUGAGAGCAUGUCUUCCUGAGGUCAGAAUCCCUGUGGGAAGGACCUCUGUGUCACUGAGGGCCAGUUCACGGUGUCAUCUUUGAGAGUGACAGAAGUCCCAGGACCUCUCAGUGCCAGCCUGAACCCUGGAGAUCUGGCAAAGGGCCAGGGCUGGAACUCAUUUGUUUCCUCCAGACCUGGCAUUGUGUGUUUCUAUCUGAAGUGGAUCAGGAGUCUGCUCUGCAAACCAGGAG